rnacentral:rRNA from 1 species
GGUUGCGAUCAUACCAGCACUAAUGCACCGGAUCCCAUCAGAACUCCGCAGUUAAGCGUGCUUGGGCGAGAGUGGUACUAGGAUGGGUGACCCCCUGGGAAGUCCUCGUGUUGCAACCCC